rnacentral:rRNA from 1 species
UACAGAGGUCCCAAGCGUUGUUCGGAUUCACUGGGCGUAAAGGGUGCGUAGGUGGCAAGGUAAGUUUGAUGUGAAAUCUCCGGGCUUAACCCGGAAAUGGCAUUGAAUACUAUCUAGCUAGAGGUUUGGAGGGGGGACUGGAAUUCUCGGUGUAGCAGUGAAAUGCGUAGAUAUCGAGAGGAACACCAGUGGCGAAGGCGAGUCCCUGGACAACAACUGACACUGAGGCACGAAAGCUAGGGGAGCAAACAGG